ACUUUGCAUCAUCAUUGUACCGGAUAGCGCAAGUCCAAGAAAGAGUUUGAGAAACUUGAAGAACAUGAGCUCGCACCCAAAGUGACUUACAAUCAGUUCAGCUCACAUUCAACACACUUAAGAAGUUUAAGACACCCCAAGCUGACAGAAGACGAUGAUCGCCUCUCAUUUACUGGCAUACUACUUCACUGAGCUCCAUCAUGACCACGUCCAGAAAGUGGAUAAGUACCUGUAUCACAUGCGACUGUCUGAUGAGAACCUGAUGGAUGUCUCCAAGCGGUUCAGAAGGGAGAUGGAUAAAGGACUGGGCAGAGACACUAACCCAACUGCAGCUGUCAAGAUGCUCCCCACCUUCGUCCGCUCCACACCUGACGGCACAGAAACGGGCGACUUCCUUGCCCUGGACUUGGGAGGAACCAAUUUCCGGGUUCUGCUUGUCAGAGUGUCCAGUAAUGGGAAGCAGAAGGUGGAGAUGGAGAAUCAGAUCUAUGCCAUUCCAGAGAACAUCAUGAGGGGAACCGGGACAGAGCUCUUCGAUCACAUAGCCGAAUGCUUGGCCAGUUUCCUUGAAAAAUUGGGCAUCAAAGAGAAGAAGCUGCCUCUAGGCUUUACCUUUUCAUUUCCUUGCCAGCAGACUAAACUAGAUGAGAGUUUUCUGGUGUCAUGGACCAAAGGUUUUAAGGCGAGUGGAGUGGAGGGGAGAGAUGUUGUGGACCUUUUGAGAAAAGCCAUCAAGAAGAGAGGGGACUUUGACAUUGACAUUGUUGCUGUGAUCAAUGAUACCGUUGGCACCAUGAUGACCUGUGGCUAUGACGACCAUCACUGUGAGAUUGGUCUCAUUGUCGGGACGGGCACCAACGCGUGCUACAUGGAGGAGAUGCGGCACUUGGAGCUGGUGGACGGUGACGAGGGUCGCAUGUGUGUGAACAUGGAGUGGGGUGCUUUCGGCGACGAUGGCUCCCUGGAUGACCUCCGCACUGAAUUUGACCGAGAGAUUGAUGCUGGCUCCCUAAACCCCGGCAAACAGCUGUUUGAGAAGAUGAUUAGUGGGAUGUACAUGGGGGAGCUGGUCAGACUCAUCCUGGUGAAGAUGGCCAAAGAUGCUCUGCUGUUCCAGGGACACACCACUCCAGAUCUGCUCACCACCGGCCACUUCCAGACCUCCUUCGUCUCUGCCAUCGAAAAUGGAAAGAAUAACGAAGGUCUGGUGAGUGCAGAGCAGGUGUUGAGAGGACUCGGACUGGACCCGUCCCCUGAAGACAGUGUGGCCACGCAGCGUGUGUGUCAGAUUGUGUCUACACGUGCGGCCCAUCUCUGUGCUGCCACGCUGGCGGCUGUGCUACGGCAGAUCCGAGAUAACAAAGCCCUAGAGAAAUUGCGCACCACUAUUGGCGUGGAUGGAUCGGUCUACAAAAACCACCCACAGUUUGCCCGGCGACUGAAUAAAAUGGUUCGAUCAUUGGUGCCUGACUGCGACGUGCGUUUCUUGCGCUCUGAGGAUGGCAGCGGCAAGGGGGCUGCCAUGGUUACAGCCGUGGCAUACCGGUUGGCAAAGCAGCAUGCAGAACGUCAGCGUAUCCUGGACACCCUACGCCUCAAUCGGGAUCAACUCCUGGAGGUGAAGAAAAGGAUGGAAGGGGAGAUGAACCGAGGCCUGGCUAAAAACACACACCUUGCAGCCACUGUUAAAAUGCUGCCCACCUUUGUGCGCUCUACACCGGAUGGAACAGAGCGUGGUGACUUUUUGGCACUGGAUCUGGGCGGCACAAACUUCAGGGUGCUCUUGGUGCGUGUUCGAAAUGGAAAACGACGGAGUGUGGAGAUGCAUAAUAAGAUCUACACUAUCCCCCAAGACAUUACGCAGGGCACCGGCGAGGAGCUGUUUGAUCACAUUGUGCACUGUAUAGCUGACUUCUUGGAGUAUAUGGGUUUGAAGGGGGCAUCCCUGCCUCUUGGUUUCACCUUCUCGUUUCCCUGCCAUCAGACCCGACUGGACCAGGGUAUCCUGAUAAAGUGGACGAAGGGCUUCAAGGCCUCAGGCUGUGAGGGAGAGGAUGUGGCCACACUGCUGAAAGACGCCAUCCAUCGCAGUGAGGAAUUUGAUUUAGAUGUGGUUGCUGUGGUGAAUGACACUGUGGGGACGAUGAUGACGUGUGGGUACGAGGACCCACAAUGUGAAGUUGGACUCAUUGUCGGCACAGGGACUAACGCAUGCUACAUGGAGGAGAUGUCAAACAUUGAGCUGGUGGAUGGAGAUGAGGGCCUUAUGUGUGUGAACAUGGAGUGGGGAGCGUUCGGGGACAGUGGAGAGCUGGGUGAUGUUUGCACAGAGUUUGAUCGAGCUGUGGAUGACCAGUCCACUUACCCUGGGAAACAGCGGUAUGAGAAGAUGAUCAGUGGGAUGUAUCUUGGAGAGAUCGUCAGAAACGUACUCUUGCACUUCACUGCCAAAGGUCUGCUUUUCCGUGGCAAACUUUCAGAGAGACUGAAAACUCGCGGAAUCUUCGAGACCAAGUUCCUGUCGCAGAUUGAAAGCGAUCGUUUGGCACUGAGGCAGGUCCGUUCCAUCCUGCAACACUUGGGCUUGACCAGCAGUACGUGCGACGACAGUAUUCUUGUGAAGGAGGUUUGCAGCGUGGUGUCCAAACGGGCGGCCCAGUUGUGCGGAGCCGGUCUGGCUGCUGUGGUGGACAAGAUACGGCGGAACCGUGGCCUCGAGCAACUCAACAUCACAGUAGGAGUGGACGGCACGCUCUACAAACUUCACCCACACUUUGCCACCAUCAUGCGGGAGACCUUAAGAGACCUGGCGCCCAACUGUGAGGUCACUCUCGUCCAAUCAGAAGAUGGCAGCGGAAAAGGUGCCGCCCUCAUCACGGCUGUGGCUUGUCGAUUAAGAGAUACGGGAAAGUAGUGACUGAACGGAAUAAUAUAAAGGGGAAAAGAUAAUGUGGAAAAAAGAAAAUUACGUACUGAGCUUCCAGAUUUUUCUCUUUUUUUCUGUGCAACAAUAUGGCCUUACUGAAACAACACUCCUGUCUGUUCAAGAAUGUAUUUUAUUUAUUUUUUUCAUUUUUUUUUGUUUGGCUUGGAAUGUGCCGGUGGGGGGUUGUUUGUAGAAAAGGGAAUAUCAAGCAGAAGAAAAACAAAGA